rnacentral:rRNA from 1 species
CAGUCGCCGCGGUAAGACAGAGGAUGCAAGCGUUAUCCGGAAUGAUUGGGCGUAAAGGGCUCGCAGGCGGUUUCUUAAGUCUGAUGUGAAAGCCCCCGGCUCAACCGGGGAGGGUCAUUGGAAACUGGGAAACUUGAGUGCAGAAGAGGAGAGUGGAAAUCCACGUGUAGCGGUGAAAUGCGUAGAGAUGUGGAGGAACACCAGUGGCGAAGGCGACUCUCUGGUCUGCAACUGACGCUGAGGAGCGAAAGCGUGGGGAGCGAACAGGAUUAGAUACCCGUGUAGUCCCUGUCUCUUAUAC